UGGCGUUGCCGCGAGAGAGCGCCCGCCGCGGUAGCAUGUUGCCGAAGCCGCAGGUUCGGCUCGGCGUCUACCGGCCACCCGCGACCGUACCGGGUCGUCGACUGAGCCGCGUUGACGUCAUCCCUCCGCAGACGUCCCACGUGGGCACUGGGGUCAGCGAGACACAGCAACGGCAAACGGGGACGCAGCCACGCGGUCGGGAGUGCAGAGCGGAGAGAAAUCUAGGCAACGAAUUCGUCUCGGAAGUCACCGAUGAAUCGAGAUGGGGCAAGGCGGCGGAAACAACGACAAAGCAGUCCCAGACCGCACCGAGACAACGCCGCACAGGUCUAGACCCUCAAUAGAGUGGCCAUAUUGGCAUCGAAAUGUCAGCACACGGGGUAAUGGUGACAAGUCACAUUUGCAUAAUAAUGCACUCAUCUUCUGCUUCGGGAUGUUUUUUUUUAUUUUAAGAUGGUUUGCGUAAUGAACAUCACGUCGGAUUUGGCUUCAUACUUAAUUUUGCACUUCCCAGCCCCGAAUUAAAUUUGUCAAUUCGAUUGCUGCGGGGCAUACGGCCUUGGCGAGGCGCGGGCCUUGCAUCCGCGGCCGUCCGGAACGUUCUUCCUUCCGAUAUUAAGAAGCCACCUGGAGCCACACGCUUUUAAAUCGAGAUUGGUUGACCCCUCGUUUCUCCCGAUCUGCUUUUAACGUUUUAGUUUGUUGUCCUUCCCCCCCCCCCCACACCCCGCCCACACCGACAAUUAGCCACGGUUGGCUUCCCACGCUGCCCAAGAAGUUCAUCGUACGUCCAUAUGGGCCCGCUUUAGUGUGGCGGAAAUGGCCUUUGAACAUCUUAACUAACCCCUGCGUUAUUUGCCAGAAGGGGUAAAGCCGUCCCUUAUAUAUAUUAUAUAUUUUUUUCUGCACCGAUUUGCCGCGACUUGUUCCGAAUGUCGGAUCAACCCCUCCUCCCCUCCCCGCGUCUCGUGGCAUGAUGGCUGUGGCACAAGUGUAAUACAAAUACAGCGCCGUUAAAAUUCGAUAUCCUGCUCUGUCCAGUGGGCGUGUGGAGCUUUGCCUCCUCUCGCCUUUGUUUCUGCUUUCAUGGUCCGGAGCCACGUGCUUCUUUUUCGUAUACGCAGGGUGCUUCAAAAAUAUGUGAACGCUUUGGAGAAUUUGCAACGAUGCCGCGCUGCUGCCUCCGGGCUCUGGAGACCACCUGGACAAGAUCCCAGGCAACGUGCGGACGUUCGGAGGUGUCGGCAGCGCCGGCGGGAACCUGCUGAGCGGCGGGUCCCACGCCAGCCGCCCCCCGAGGAACCCCACUGGCCGGCAGCAGCAGCAGCAGCAGCGCGAGGAGCGCGGGGCCCGGAGCGACGCGCGGGCAGACGGCAUCUACAGAGAGCUGGUGGACGAGCGCUCCCUGCUGCGCAUCAUGGAGAUGGGCUUCACCCGCGCGGAGUCACGCGCAGCCCUCAUGGAUCACCACAACCGCCUGGAGGACGCCCUCAACGCCCUCCUCCUCGCUCCGGCGGCGCCUCCGCUAGCCGAGCUCCUGGCACCACAGCCGCCGUCGCGGGGCGGUGAGCGGGAAUCCCUUAAACAUAUAUGUUUUACAAAAAAUCAUAAUGAAUUUAAAACAUUCGUGCCAGGUAAUUAGGCCGCACUGAGCCUAUCGUGGCUGCGUUGUCGGAAGCGGACCCCCGGCCAGCACAAACGAAAGUGGCCGAUAUCGCCGUCGUUUGGGUAAUGUAUCGGCAGCAGCCGGCUGCUCUAAAAGCGCGCGACAUCGCUCCGAAAUGUGGAUGGGGGUGAAGUGAAGUGAAAAAAA